rnacentral:rRNA from 1 species
CGAGCGGCAGCGACAACAUUGUACCCUUCGGGCGAUUUGUUGGGUCGCCGAGCGGCGGACGGGUGAGUAAUGCUUAGGAAUUUGCCCAGUCGAGGGGGACAACAGUUGGAACGACUGCUAAUACCGCAUACGCCCUACGGGGGAAUGCAGGGGUUCUUCGGACCUUGCGCGAUUGGAUAAUCCUAAAUGAGAUUAGCUAGUUGGUGAGGUAAUGGCUCACCCAGGCGACGAUCUCUAGCUGGUUUGAGAGGAUGAUCAGCCACACUGGGACUGAAACACGGCCCAGACUCCUACGGGAGGCAAUAGUGGGGAAUAUUGCACCAUGGGCGAAACCCUGAUGCAGCCUUGCCGCGUGUGUGAAGAAGGCCUUCGGUUUGUAAAGCACUUUCAGCGAGGAGGAAAGGUUCGUGGUUAAUACCCGUUAGCUGUGAAGUUACUCGCAGAAAAAAGCCCCGGCUAACUCCGUGCCCAACAGCCGCGGUUAAUACGGAUGGUGCGAGCGUUAAUCGGAAUUACUGGGCGUAGAGCGCAUGCAGGCGCGCCUAGUCAGUCAGAUGUGAAAGCCCCGGGGCUUUACCCUGGGAAUUGCAUUUUGAUACUGCUUGGUCUAGAGUCCUUGGAGAUGGGGGGGUAGAAAUCUUCA